ACCUGUGUCUCCACACCGGGAACGCUGAGAAAAAUCGCGCUGAAAGCGCUGGGUCGGCGUCGGGCGGUGGGGUGGAUUUCAGGCAGCCGAAAGACAGACGCCUUUGUGAGGAGUGGGGGACCUUAAUCGUGCCACUCCAAAAAUGGCGGCUUGACCGGAAAUGGCUUCCGCCACAAUCAAAGAUGGCGACGAAGGGCAGAAGUCACGUUUUUUAUGCCACACCAAAGAUGGCGGUUUGACACGCCUCUUUACGGCCUUCCAAAGAUGGCGGCAUCUUGCGCAUGCGCCUUGGGGAUGGGACAAAUGGCGGCCUGGAAGGAACAUGCUCCGUCCUUUCGGCUGCCUGAACGCCACGCCGGCGCCGACCCAGGUCUUUUAGCGCGAUUUUUCAUAACGUUUCCCGACGUGGGAAAACGGGUUGUGCGGAGCUGGGAGCACCCGGCAGGAUGCAGCUCCUCUUUCCUAGGAGGGUUGAGAACUCCACUGGUUCCAUGAAUGGAGACAACAGGAUUGAUGUUCUAUGGAUCCCUUGGCAAAUUGCUGACAAGGAAAAGUCCCCACCAAGGUCUUGUCUGUGGCACCUGCAGCUGCCGUGGCCACUGAAAUGCUCCAGAUCCAGUGGUAUUUGAGAUGAGCUGUGGCAGAAUGGAGGAGCAAACACUUGGGAUUGAUUUACUGCAAGAACUGGGAUUCAGUAGCAGCAAUCAGCUGAGCUGUGGUGAGAAACCUCUCCAGUUUGUGCUCCCAUUCAGCUCCUUCUCCUACCCUGGGCUCCUGGCAGGAGCCGUGGAAUGCCGGAAUGGUUUGGGGUAGAAGGGACCUUAAAAGCUCAUCCUGCUCCACUCCCUGCCACGGGGACAACUUCCACUAUCCCAGCUUGCUCCAAGCCCUGUUCAGCCUGACCUUGGACACUCCCAGGGAUCCAGGGGCAGCCACAGCUUCUCUGGACAACCUGUGCCAGGGCCUUGCUAAAAUCAGAGGGAAGUAUUCCCUCAUAAUAGCAAACCUAAACUCUUCAAAACAAGCAAUGUAGCAUAGAUGCCAAUGAUGGGGAAGAAGCUGGAUUUCACACAGCGGAGGCCGUGAUUUAUGCAGCAGAGAAGGAGCUGCUGAAUAUUAAAGGCAUCAACCAAAGCUGGCAGAAUCCCAGUAAGGAUGUUCAGGAACUUUAACCCAAGAUAUUCCACAGGUUUAUUUGUCCUGGCUGAAAGCACUGUGGUAAAUUUGGAAGGUCUCCAAAGGGCAGUAAAGGUGAUUGGAGGUGUGACAUAACUUGUGAUGGGAAAAGUCAAAAUGCACCAGGACAGGACUGAAGUGGAGGAUAUUUCCAUAAAACACACAAAAUGGAUGUUGGAGCUUUCUUGGAGCAGAAUUUCAGUUCUGUUCAGAGGUACCAACUCAUGCACGGUCUGUGAAAUGUGCACAGAAUGAUACAGGCACCUCUCCACAAGGCAGGAAAUAUUAAUUACGGGGGGUUAACGAACGGCAGGAGCUCUCCUGGCACUGCUCAGACGGGUUUUCCCUCAGGCUGAUGCAGCCAAGCUGAUUCCCAGGGUUUCACCACAGCCACAGAACUCUGCCAAUGACGGUCAGAGAGUAUCCCAAUCACCACUGAUUCCAAAGAGCUGGACAAGCUCCAUCAAGGAGAAAUAGAAACAGGAUCCAUAAUGGACUUAUCUGGGGAAUUCCAAUUAGGUCCAUGUACUUCCCGGGCAGCAUUCCCAUGGGACCAUACCCUGCGUGUUUUUCUGGAUCCCGGUGCAGCAGAAUCUCAGUGGCCACGGUUGGGAAUUCGGUGAAUUGGAAGCAGAGCUGAAGGGUUUGUCCACUAAGAGAAGUGGUGAUUAUAAACCAAAGCAGCAUGGUAUUCCACACCAUGGAUUUGGGAUUGGUGAUGGUCCCAAUCCAUAAUCUUUGCUCAUUUUCUUUUGGAUGCUGCAGCCUGAUGGGCUGGGGGAGCUGCUCCUUUCCAUUUCCAUUUAAUUUUCUGUAUUUCAUUAAUUCUCUGUGGAAAUCUGCUUUUAAUGAAAGGGCCCAGGAGGAUAUCGAUGUCGUCCCAGGUUCCUGGGAUUCACAGCUCUGUGUUCAGACCAAGGACUGUUCUGGCUGGCAGAAGCUGCACCAAUCUCCCAAGAAUCUCUGGAUUUUCUUCUCCCAAUUCUCAGUUUGGGGGUGCAGUGCAGCCCUGCCCUGUGCAUCUCCUAGAAGAGUUUUGGUGUUUAAAAGGUUAUUUUGUAUCCUGUAGUACUUGUAACUUGAUAAAAAAGUAUAACACUGUAUCAAUGUGGUUUUGAUUGGCUCAUUUACAUUCCUUAAUUAAAGCAAAUAAUUGAGAAGGGGUUUGAGCAGCCCUUGGUUGGAGCUGGCAGCUCUUCCUUAUCUCCUCAUUCACUGAAUUUCUUUGAAUUAUUUCUUAAGCAGUUACUGCAAUCCAGAUGCACAAUGAGGAGAACAGCAUUGCUGCCCUGCUGGAUUGGGAAAUCCAAGUGCAAUUCCUCAGAGGGAUUGAAGGGAUGGGGAUCUGAGCCUCAGGCUGGGUUUUGGCAGCAGGAAUUCAGUGAGGAGGGGUGAGGGGAGAUCCCCCAAAACUGGUUAAAGCAAAUUCUGCUGGGUUUGGGUGCCCCUCCCCAAAAAAUGAUCCUGAUUAAAGGGGACUUGAGGAAGCAGUGGGAUAUGUUGGGGGGGGGGCUGUGCUGGAGCCCCCAAACCCUGGUCAGGGAUGGUGGGCAGUGCCAGCUCCCUGGGGACACUAUGGGGGGGGCUGUGCUGACACCCCCAAAUUCCAGCCAGAAAUGGAACGGCAGCCGGGUGGAGUAGGGGGGCAGGACGGGAGGGGUUGUUCGUUUGUCUGGCGAUUUUUAUGUCUGUUCACACUGCAGUGAUGUGACCCCCUCUGCUUCCCCCUAUCCCUCCCGGCCCCCGGUCCAGAGAAGGGGCACCGGAGGAGGGGGCGGGGACUGGAGGGGGGGAAGCCCACCCCAGCCCCCCGGGGCCCCCCGGUGCGAUGUGUGGAAGCCGCAAUGCCGCCGGUGUGUGUGAACAGCCCCGAGCGGAGACUCCAGCGGGGGCGCGGGCGCCGGGCUCCGGCCCUCUGGGCUUUGUUCUCCGGCGGCCCGAGCUCCGCGGCUGCGGGGCAAGAAGGAGAGCGGGGAAUGGAGAACGGGAACAGCGAGCAAAGGGGG